UACGUAGGGGGCAAGCGUUGUCCGGAAUCAUUGGGCGUAAAGCGCGUGUAGGCGGCUCGAUAAGUCUGCUGUGAAAGUUCAGGGCUCAACCCUGAAAUGCCGGUGGAAACUGUCGGGCUAGAGUCCGGAAGAGGCGAGUGGAAUUCCUGGUGUAGCGGUGAAAUGCGCAGAUAUCAGGAGGAACACCAAUGGCGGAGGCAGCUCGCUGGGACGGUACUGACGCUGAGACGCGAAAGCGUGGGGAGCAAACAGG
rnacentral:rRNA from 1 species